UGCAAAGUGAUCGCCGAGGGGAAUGGCUCUGCCGUGGAGCAUCAAAAGUACUACUGAUCUUGGUACCAGAUCAUACAUGUGCUUUUGGUGAUGGAUGGGUCGAUGCAGAGUACUGCUCCAAGACCACUUGGAAACUGCAGAACCCUGCAACAAGAGCAGAGGAAAUGGAAUCGAUGGUACCGAGUGGAAGGGAGGAAUGUUGAUAUCGAGGGAAGCGGGGAGCGGCACAUGGCUUCUGCCCUGAGAUCCUGACCUCUCACGUCCCAAUCUCAGCUUCCAGUGUAGCCCACGCAGAGGCCACCGAGAGCCAUCAGCCUUUUUUUUUUUUGCUUAUUUAAAUUUUAAACGUAGGCGCUCUAGAAGUAGCCUGAAAUGUUAUAGGCAUAGCUGAUGCUUGUUCUAAAUAUUCCGAAUAAAUAGCUGCUUCAAUCCUCUCUCUCUCCCUCUUGCCCUUGAAAGAGAUGACUUAAUUUGAGAGACUGAACAUUGAGGUGUUCUGAAUCUCUUGUGAAACAUGUGAAUGAAGAUAAGUGGUUUUUU